rnacentral:rRNA from 1 species
AGAGUGAACGCUGGCGGCAGGCCUAACACAUGCAAGUCGAACGGCAGCACAGGGGAGCUUGCUCCCUGGGUGGCGAGUGGCGGACGGGUGAGGAAUGCGUCGGAAUCUGCCUUUUCGUGGGGGAUAACGUAGGGAAACUUACGCUAAUACCGCAUGCGACCCUGUUCCGGGAGGUUCAGGGUGAAAGCGGGGGACCUUCGGGCCUCGGCGCGGAAAGAUGAGCCGACGCCGGAUUAGCUA